UCUCGGCAAAUUAUCCUCAUAAGUUUGACAAGAAGAGGAACCAUGAAUUUUAGUAAGUUAAUAACUCCUAUUAAUUUAUUUAUAUGGUGGCACAAAAUCGGAAGCCCCGACUGUUUACUAAAAACACAACUAUCUGCAAUUAUGAAAAUAAUAGUAUAGGUAGUGAGAUUUGCCCAAUGCCAUAUUAAUAAGUAAUAAUAAUGGGUAACUGUUUCUUUACAAACAAUUGGUUAAUAGCGGUCUUAACUAUGAGGAUCCUAAGGUAGCAAAAUAAAUUGGCCAUUAAAUGUGGUCCAGUAUCAAUAAUUUAACGAUGGCUUCACUGUCUCUACAACUUGCUCAGUGAAAUUGAAUUACCCGUGCAGAUGCGGGUUACCUCAAAGAGGACGGGAAGACCCUAUGCAGCUUCUACUGA
rnacentral:rRNA from 1 species